UAAACUACACCUCCCAUGAGGCUUUGCGGCAAUGCGUCCGAAAACCGGAAGUGCCGUGCGUCACAUGUCAAUUUUAAAUCGCUAAAUUUAUGUAUUCUUAACCCUUGUUUUUAUUAUUCAUGUACUUUAACCAUGUCUAUACAGCAUAUACUAUGUUUUACAUGAGGUUUUUAUGUGUUUUAAUAUCGCCAUAAAAAUCUGAAUUCUGAUUGGACGAAUCAGUUUUGGCGCCAAAUCUGAAUCAC